rnacentral:sRNA from 12 species
CUGGAGAAUUGCUCUAUGAGCAAUAAUCUAGACUACAUGUAGAUUUAUAGUGCAUUUUAGAUUUCUAAAAAUGCCAGUAAAAUACAGCAAAGAUAAUUAGUAGAUUAUUUGAAAAUUAAAUUUGCAGUGCAACAGAAAAUCUGUUUUAGUAAAUCUGCUACUUUAA